rnacentral:rRNA from 1 species
AUUGAACGCUGGCGGCAUGCCUUACACAUGCAAGUCGAACGGCAGCAUGGAGAGCUUGCUCUCUGAUGGCGAGUGGCGAACGGGUGAGUAAUGCAUCGGAACGUACCGUGUAAUGGGGGAUAACGUAGCGAAAGUUACGCUAAUACCGCAUACGACCUGAGGGUGAAAGCAGGGGAUCGCAAGACCUUGCGUUAUACGAGCGGCCGAUGUCAGAUUAGCUAGUUGGUGAGGUAAAGGCUCACCAAGGCGACGAUCUGUAGCGGGUCUGAGAGGAUGAUCCGCCACACUGGGACUGAGAAACGGCCCAGACUCCUACGGGAGGCAGCAGUGGGGAAUUUUGGACAAUGGGGGCAACCCUGAUCCAGCCAUGCCGCGUGAGUGAAGAAGGCCUUCGGGUUGUAAAGCUCUUUCGGCCGGGAAGAAAUCGCACAGGCUAAUACUCUGUGUGGAUGACGGUACCGGCAUAAGAAGCACCGGCUAACUACGUGCCAGCAGCCGCCGUAA